rnacentral:rRNA from 1 species
UGGUGGAGUGAUUUGUCUGGUUAAUUCCGUUAACGAACGAGACCUCAACCUGCUAUACAGUUAUGUGCAGCUAGUGUUACGCAGACAACUUCUUAGAGGGACAUUGCGCACAUAGUGCAAGUAAGUUUGAAGCAAUAACA